rnacentral:rRNA from 1 species
ACGGCUCAGUAACACGUGGUCAACAUACCCAGAGGACGUGGAUAACCUCGGGAAACUGAGGAUAAACCGCGAUAGACCAUAAUGUCUGGAAUGAUUUAUGGUUCAAAUCUAUAUGGCCUCUGGAUUGGACUGCGGCCGAUCAGGCUGUUGGUGAGGUAAUGGCCCACCAAACCUGAAACCGGUACGGGCUCUGAGAGGAGAAGCCCGGAGAUGGGCACUGAGACAAGGGCCCAGGCCCUAUGGGGCGCAGCAGGCGCGAAACCUUUGCAAUAGGCGAAAGCCUGACAAGGUUACUCUGAGUGAUCUCCGCUAAGGAAAUCUUUUGACACCUCUAAAAAUGGUGUAGAAUAAGGGGUGGGCAAGCCUGGUGUCAGCCGCCGCGGUAAUACCAGCACCCCGAGUGGUCGGGACGAUUAUUGGGCCUAAAGCAUCCGUAGCCGGUUCUUUAAGUCCUCCGUUAAAUCCACCUGCUUAACGGAUGGGCUGCGAAGGAUACUAUAGAGCUGGGAGGCGGGAGAGGCAAGCGGUACUCAGUGGGUAGGGGUAAAAUCCGUUGAUCCAUUGAAGACCACCAGUGGCGAAGGCGGCUUGCCAGAACGCGCUCGACGGUGAGGGAUGAAAGCUGGGGGAGCAAACCGGAUUAGAUACCCGGGUAGUCCCAGCUGUAAACGAUGCAGACUCGGUGAUGAACAGGCUUCGUGCCUGUUCAGUGCCGCAGGGAAGCCGUUAAGUCUGCCGCCUGGGGAGUACGGUCGCAAGACUGAAACUUAAAGGAAUUGGCGGGGGAG